UGAGUGUUUGUUUCACCGUGUCUACAAGAUGAAUCUUUGCUUGUUUGUUUAGGUGCGCAACUAAAUGAAUAGGUUAGGGUUCUAAUGCUAGGAGAGUAACACUAGAUUCGUAUAUGUCGUGUGUUGAUUCCAAUUGAGUAGCAAAAUGUUUUCUUGAAUUACAUGUGACUCAAACCCUAGGUUUAGCAAGACUACCAAUGUACUUGU
rnacentral:lncRNA from 1 species